UGGCGCGUUUGGUGAGAAGGUGGUGUGGACGAGUCGCAGGUUUUUACAAUCAAUUAUAUAACGCGUAAUAACUCAGGUGCACCGUCGCUGCUCCGGCAUUAGCAGAUCCGUGUUGGGCGGACAGCUCACAAGGAAGUUGGACAAAGAGGGUAUGGGGAGACAACAAAGGAGAAGACACUCAGAGAUGGACAGAACUGAGAUGUCCAAGGACAAAAGAAAGAAAGAAGAGAAAUGGACGGGAGGAAGGAGAGAUGGACGCAAUGUUCGUGUACAAUUAAAUUAACCCAUGCUCAAAUUACAGAGGAAAUAUUUCAAUUUCUUUUUAUCAUUAAUUUGGUGCAUUAAAAUCAAUUGUACAUUUGAUACAAUAUAAAAAUUCUUACUCUCACUUUACUGCUGGCAGAUAUAAUUAAACAAAAAUAACUUUU